rnacentral:lncRNA from 1 species
UUUUGUCUCCUUUAACUCCUUUUAGCCUUCUACUUCUUCAAGAUUUCUCCAAAACAAACAACCAACUCCAAAUAUGCCUAAAAAAUAGAAUUCGGGUCAUACCAAAAUUCUAAUAAAUCUUCACAUUGACAUGAAUUCCACUGCAAAGAAUAAAACUCAACUAUUCAACAAACUCCAAAAAUUCUAUAAACAGAACACUCCGAAAAAAU